rnacentral:rRNA from 1 species
UACGGGGGGGGUAAGCGUUGUUCGGAAUUACUGGGCGUAAAGGGCUCGUAGGCGGCCAACUAAGUCAUACGUGAAAUCCCUCAGCUUAACUGGGGAACUGCGUGUGAUACUGGAUGGCUUGGAUUUGGGAGAGGGAUGCGGAAUUCCAGGUGUAGCGGUGAAAUGCGCAGAUAUCAGGAGGAACACCGAUUGCGAAGGCAGCUCGCUGGGACGUCACUGACGCUGAGACGCGAAAGCGUGGGGAGCAAACAGG